AAACUAUUGGGCUAGAGUGUGGGAGAGGAAGAUGGAAUUAGUUGUGUAGGGGUAAAAUCCGUAGAGAUAACUAGGAAUACCAAAAGCGAAGGCAAUCUUCUGGAACAUUACUGACGCUGAGGCGCGAAAGCGUGGGGAGCAAACAGGAUUAGAUACCCUGGUAGUCCACGCCCUAAACGAUGAAUGUUAGUCGUCGGGUAGCUAGUCUAUUCGGUGAUGCAGCUAACGCAUUAAACAUUCCGCCUGGGGAGUACGGUCGCAAGAUUAAAACUCAAAGGAAUAGACGGGGACCCGCACAAGUGGUGGAGCAUGUGGUUUAAUUCGAAGAUACGCGAAGAACCUUACCUAGCCUUGACAUAUAUUAGAACACUUUAGAGAUAGAGUGGUGCCUUCGGGAGCUUUUAUACAGGUGCUGCACGGCUGUCGUCAGCUCGUGUCGUGAGAUGUUGGGUUAAGUCCCGCAACGAGCGCAACCCUCGUCACUAGUUACUAACGGUUCGGCCGAGGACUCUAGUGAGACUGCCUUCGUAAGGAGGAGGAAGGUGAGGACGACGUCAAGUCAUCAUGGCCCUUACGGCUAGGGCAACACACGUGCUACAAUGGCCAGGACAAUGAGAAGCGAUACCGCGAGGUGGAGCAAAUCUAUAAACCUGGUCUCAGUUCGGAUUGUAGUCUGCAACUCGACUACAUGAAGCUGGAAUCACUAGUAAUCGUAGAUCAGCUAUG
rnacentral:rRNA from 1 species